rnacentral:rRNA from 1 species
AGAGGAAGUAAAAGUCGUAACAAGGUUUCCGUAGGUGAACCUGCGGAAGGAUCAUUAAUGAUUACGAAUGGUUGCCUUCUGSGCUGGCCAGAAACUGGCAAGUGCACGUCGGUGGCUUUCAUCCAAUACCCUGUGAACCUCUGGCCUCUUGCUAGCUUCGGCCGGCAGAGGAAUUUUACACAAACUCGAAUGUAAUGAAAUAUACUGUCGUGCGCAAGCACUAAUGUACAACUUUCAACAACGGAUCUCUUGGCUCUCGCAUCGAUGAAGAACGCAGYGAAAUGCGAUAAGUAAUGUGAAUUGCAGAAUUCAGUGAAUCAUCGAAUCUUUGAACGCACCUUGCACCCUUUGGCAUUCCGAAGGGUAUGCUCGUUUGAGUGUCAUUGUACUCUCACACUCCCGAUCUUUGGAUUCGGAGCGGUGGACUUGGGUGUUGCUGCUUACCGUGGCUCACCUCAAAUGGAUUCGUGCAUCUCUUGGUUGGACAUAGUACGGCGUGAUAAGUGUCUUCGCCGGCGCCUCAGUAGAGGGUGGCCGAUCGGGAKCUCUGUGCUUCAAACCGUCUUCGGACAACAACUGACAACUUGACCUCAAAUCGAGUAGGACUACCCGCUGAACUUAA